GGACAAUAGAGCGGGUUCUUAAGCGCGAAGGGACAAGGAAUGGAAACUCCAGACGCCUUCCUCUUUUAUUAAUCUUUGUGUCUCUCCACCUCUCCUGGACUCCGCUAAAGACCUCCUCUGAUGCUAAGCUGUGGCCGGGAGGUGACCUUGUGUAGGGGGAGAGCAACCUUUUCCCCAGGCUGAGCUGAAUUAAAUUGCAAGCCCUGGAAGAUGUGUCUGCAAAACUAUUCUGUCAAAUUUAUGAGCGUGUUGUUCCCUUGGUGGAAUACCAGGCUUCACUGCCGCUGACAAGUUGCUAAUCAAAGUCUCUUUCUUCUCAAGAGACAGAGAGAGGACUCCCACCAGGACCACUGCAGGGAGGGAGGGACAUCCAAAAUGCAAUGAUUUGUGCCUUCGACCUAAAGGAGGGUCCCUCAAACAGCUGACCUAUUCUUCACAACAGCUGGACUGGGAUCAGAAAUAGGAGUGUAAAUCCAAAUGGAGGGAGUUGGUGAUUAACAGUCAAGCUGCUUGGCCUCAUAGCUCUGUGCCUGUUACUACCGCUGCUUGAUGUGUGCACAUAAAGUGUUGCUUUGCUUAAUCAUCUCUUCUUGAAGUUCCUCCACUCUCCUGCAAAGAAGUUCUAUGACUAGUAGUUCAUCCAAAGCUCCUCAUAUCAUCAUUUGAAGUUCUGAGCAGCCACUGCGGCUCCUCCCGCAGCUCCCCACGGCAUCCAGCAGGUGGUCUUCCUCUGUCUUCCCCUGCAGCUCUCAACCAGCAGUAUGGCAGUACUAUAUGGAAGCUCCAUAAGUAAAGCUCCCCUCUGUUCCAUAGCUGGAGGAAGGACAAAAUUCCCA